ACUGUAUCAAACGCUUUUGACAGUAAGGGGGCGGAGCCAGCCACCGGGAUCUGUACAUCUGAUUGGUUACAAACCCCGUCUUUGGAUUGGCUGGAGUGAUGCAUUCACACAACUAUAGAAGCCUGUUUUUGCGCUACAGAAAGUCGAAAUGAUGAUAAAAGGCUGUGAAAACACAAACGACACCGACAACCAGCUACAACCAUCAUCUACCAGCAUCACCGGCGCUUUGGCCGCACAUUGAGACCGAUGCGUCCGGCUCGCAGGUCGGUCCGUUCGGGUGACUUCAGGAUUCGAUCUAUUCAACCGCCGAGUCUGAACCUGUGAAUAUCUUGCCAACUGUACCGAACUUUAAAGCAGCCAGCGCUUAUCCUAUAUCGAUCCGUAUUGAAAGUUGACAAGAUAUUCACAGACUUCAUUUGACCAAUACGGACCGCUUUGAUUUAUGGUUAAAUAUGACUCGGAAGACACGAAGACGAUUUAGACUCCGAUGUCUCUACGGCAAGUAGCGGUCACGGCCCCAGAAACCGCUCAGGACGGAUAGAAACCAAACAUCUUAUCGGGCUUAAUUAGACCACAAUGGACGCCGCGACAAGUGUUCAUGUUUGUUUGUAAGUGGUUUUGUUGUUGUUUUCGCCAUUCAGCCCCCGUUCGACAUCAUAACUCACCAGCCAGUCUCGUUUUUAGCCAUCCAACGUUUUUAUGGAGCAGCUACACAAACAGUCGGCCAUCUUGGACGCGUCAUCUGUGACGCCCGUCAACCUGCGCUAAAUAGUGACGUCAUUACACCACGAGGGGCCCAUCUGGGAAAUACUGUCAUGCAUAAUGUAAUGUUUGCACUUCAAUCUUGUCAAUUGAUAUUUAAAAGUUUAAUAGAUUAAUUAUAUCCUCCAUCACAUUCAUAUAAUAUUGAUAUUCCAAUAUAAUAUUGAUAUAAUAAUUUGAGCUAAUAAUUAGCUUCGCUGUUGCUAGCCUAUACCUUAUGCUUCAUGCCUUUACUGCAGACAUAAGUAAAGCAAUUCUUUUUUAAAGAAAUAAAAUGGCAUCCGCUGAGACAGCAGUUCGUUCUCAAAGCCCCGGCGUUGGCGUCGUGCUUUUGCAAAGCGCAGACAAUGUUGUCACACAAACGACUUGACAACUGACGACUGGGCGAGAAAGAUAUUCAACAGCUCGACAUUGGCCUCCUCAGAAGCCACGUGAAGACAUGUCCGUGCACUUUUUAGUGAGCGAGAGUGACCUCUAAUGCACAUCCGUCUAUGUUUAAGCAUGAUCUUUACCACAAAUAUACCCUACAAAUAACCAUGCACCAUAGAUACCUUUAAUACUUGCAAGCUUAGGUGACUUCCUCGUCAACAUUUCUCUUUAGACAUACAUUAUUCAGCAGGCUUCACUAUGAUCAUUUUUAUGUUUUCUUGACAGUACUCACUGGUAUUUGCCCUCGACUGAACAGUUAAAUCUCCCCUGAAGGUUGAGAAAAUGUCCUUUCUCAGCACACAGGUGCAAAAUCACCAAAGGUGACUGCAUUUGAUUAGCUUCACUGUACAUAUUGUAACCUUCAACUUUUUUUCCCACAUUUUGCUCCGCUGUCAAAAGGACAGACACAGGAAAACAUUCCUGCCAACGGCAAUAAGACUUUACAACAGAACACAACAAAAAACCUCUGGCUAAAUCCUUGUUUACUUGAACUUGAACUACAACACUGUCUUAACUUAAUUUUCAAAUUUAAUUAAAUACAUAUUCCACCAUACAUCCUCCUUUCACUUAACUCAUUGUUUGCUCUGCUAUUCUAUUUUAUUUUAUUUACUGUGUAUAUAUUGUGCAUUUGUCAUUCUCACUUUAUUUACUGUACUGCUGCUAUUGCACACAAAUCUCCCCUUGGGGAUUAAUAAAGUUUAUAUAUCUGUGACAUUUAUACUUUUUGACCCUAUUCUACGGUGGCCCUGAAGUGCGAAACACAACGGCAAAUAGGAAAACACAA
ensembl:lncRNA